rnacentral:lncRNA from 1 species
GGGUGUUUACAGCACCAAAACCCCAAAUGUCCCAAUUCCCCAAAUCCUGCUGGGCCUGGGCGCCUCCAGCUUCGAGUUCAGGCUGGAUCCCAGUGCUGACCCCGAACUGGCUCUGGUAGAGACAUCGAAAUUCCCAGGAAUUGGGGAAUUUCCAAUGUUGUGAUCCCACAAACCCCGAAUCUCCUGACUCCCACAACACCAACCCCAAAGUUCUCAGGAAUUGGGCAAUUCCCAAUGUCAGAUUUCCCACAAAACCCCGAAUCUCCACAGCACCGAACCCCAGGGCUCCCAUUUCUUGCACCGCCAGCUGUGUUUGGGGUGUUUUGGGUGUUGUGUCCCAUUUCCCCAAUCCCAAUCCCUGUUUUUGGGGUGUUUUGGGGUGUUUUGGGUGUUCUGUCCCAUUUCCCCGAUCCCAGUCCCUGUUUUGGGGUGUUUUGGGGUGUUGUGUCCCGUUUCCCCUAUCCCAGUCCCUGUGUUUGGGGUGUUCUGUCCCGUUUCCCCAUCCCAGUCCCUGUGUUUGGGGUGUUUUGGGGUGUUUUUGGGUGUUGUGUCCCAUUUCCCCGACCCCAAUCUCUGUUUUUGGGGUGUUUUGGGUGUUGUGUCCCGUUUCCCCAUCCCAGUCCCUGUUUUUGGGGUGUUUUGGGGUGUUUUUGGGUGUUCUGUCCCAUUUCCCCUAUCCCAGUCCCUGUUUUUGGGGUGUUUUGGGUGUUCUGUCCCGUUUCCCCAUCCCAGUCCCUGUUUUUGGGGUGUUGUGUCCCGUUUCCCCAUCCCAGUCCCUGUGUUUGGGGUGUUUUGGGGUGUUUUUGGGG